GUGGGGAAUAUUGCACAAUGGGCGCAAGCCUGAUGCAGCAACGCCGCGUGCGGGAUGACGGCCUUCGGGUUGUAAACCGCUUUCACCCAUGACGAAGCGAAAGUGACGGUAGUGGGAGAAGAAGCACCGGCCAACUACGUGCCAGCAGCCGCGGUGAUACGUAGGGUGCGAGCGUUGUCCGGAAUUAUUGGGCGUAAAGAGCUUGUAGGCGGUUGAUUGCGUCAGAAGUGAAAUCUCAGGGCUUAACCCUGAGCGUGCUUCUGAUACGGGUUGACUAGAGGAAAGUAGGGGAGAACGGAAUUCCUGGUGGAGCGGUGGAAUGCGCAGAUAUCAGGAGGAACACCGGUGGCGAAGGCGGUUCUCUGGACUUUUCCUGACGCUGAGAAGCGAAAGCGUGGGGAGCAAACAGGCUUAGAAACCCUAGUAGUCC
rnacentral:rRNA from 1 species